rnacentral:rRNA from 1 species
GAUGAACGCUGGCGGCGUGCCUAAUACAUGCAAGUCGAGCGAACGGACGAGAAGCUUGCUUCUCUGAUGUUAGCGGCGGACGGGUGAGUAACACGUGGAUAACCUACCUAUAAGACUGGGAUAACUUCGGGAAACCGGAGCUAAUACCGGAUAAUAUUUUGAACCGCAUGGUUCAAAAGUGAAAGACGGUCUUGCUGUCACUUAUAGAUGGAUCCGCGCUGCAUUAGCUAGUUGGUAAGGUAACGGCUUACCAAGGCAACGAUGCAUAGCCGACCUGAGAGGGUGAUCGGCCACACUGGAACUGAGACACGGUCCAGACUCCUACGGGAGGCAGCAGUAGGGAAUCUUCCGCAAUGGGCGAAAGCCUGACGGAGCAACGCCGCGUGAGUGAUGAAGGUCUUCGGAUCGUAAAACUCUGUUAUUAGGGAAGAACAUAUGUGUAAGUAACUGUGCACAUCUUGACGGUACCUAAUCAGAAAGCCACGGCUAACUACGUGCCAGCAGCCGCGGUAAUACGUAGGUGGCAAGCGUUAUCCGGAAUUAUUGGGCGUAAAGCGCGCGUAGGCGGUUUUUUAAGUCUGAUGUGAAAGCCCACGGCUCAACCGUGGAGGGUCAUUGGAAACUGGAAAACUUGAGUGCAGAAGAGGAAAGUGGAAUUCCAUGUGUAGCGGUGAAAUGCGCAGAGAUAUGGAGGAACACCAGUGGCGAAGGCGACUUUCUGGUCUGUAACUGACGCUGAUGUGCGAAAGCGUGGGGAUCAAACAGGAUUAGAUACCCUGGUAGUCCACGCCGUAAACGAUGAGUGCUAAGUGUUAGGGGGUUUCCGCCCCUUAGUGCUGCAGCUAACGCAUUAAGCACUCCGCCUGGGGAGUACGACCGCAAGGUUGAAACUCAAAGGAAUUGACGGGGACCCGCACAAGCGGUGGAGCAUGUGGUUUAAUUCGAAGCAACGCGAAGAACCUUACCAAAUCUUGACAUCCUUUGACAACUCUAUAGAUAGAGUUUUCCCCUUCGGGGGACAAAGUGACAGGUGGUGCAUGGUUGUCGUCAGCUCGUGUCGUGAGAUGUUGGGUUAAGUCCCGCAACGAGCGCAACCCUUAAGCUUAGUUGCCAUCAUUAAGUUGGGCACUCUAAGUUGACUGCCGGUGACAAACCGGAGGAAGGUGGGGAUGACGUCAAAUCAUCAUGCCCCUUAUGAUUUGGGCUACACACGUGCUACAAUGGACAAUACAAAGGGCAGCGAAACCGCGAGGUCAAGCAAAUCCCAUAAAGUUGUUCUCAGUUCGGAUUGUAGUCUGCAACUCGACUACAUGAAGCUGGAAUCGCUAGUAAUCGUAGAUCAGCAUGCUACGGUGAAUACGUUCCCGGGUCU